AUUGAUCAUGUUGUUUCCUUCACAUAUUCUGUACAUCUUCCAUCAUCCUGCAUUUCAUGUGAUCAUUGUAGUUUUCUGUUUGAUAUCACUGUGAGUGUUAUCGUCUAAAUGUGCAUCCAUCCUGUAUAUUCUAUAUAAAGCUGCAAUUAGCUUUGUUAGUUUCAUCAUUAGCAGCACUAAUUUCAAACCCAUGGUCAAACUCAUAGCAGACAAUAUGAGAGAUUAAUAAGGGAUGCUCUUUUGUUUUUGAUUGGUCAUAAUUAUGAUUUUUUUCUUGGACAGUUUGAUGGUAUAGGAAUGUUGAGCUUCUGAUUAAUUUUGGAAGACUUGUAUUAGAUCUGACCGAGCAAGGAAAACCUUGUGGAUCCGUAAGUAGUCUAUGUCUAGAAAAAUUUCACUCUAUUCAUUUUUAGUGCGUCAGAAAGAGUAUGUUGCAGGACCUUGUAUCUUUUGGUGCGGACCCCCUUUUUGUCUUCCAACAAGGUUGGUAUUCAAUAUAACUGGCAAGGUUUGAUUUCAGAGUUCUAUUGAGCACUGGGUCAAUCAGUCAAUUAGAAAAGCACCUCUCAUUUCAUGUUUUAUGUAUCUCCGACUUCCUGAUGAACUUUCUGCAAUAGUUGGUCUUUUAAGGUUCUUGGUUCAACUGAAAAAAUUUAGGAGUCUUGUGUGCUUUGCAGAUGGGCACCUUCAAGCGAAGUGCGAAUUGUGUUCAGGCUGUUGUCUGCAUGCCCUGGCAUCUACUUCCCUCAUCACCCAUUCUCAGAAGUUGUCCUAUAAGAACACCUUAAAGAUCUAUAUCUAUAUGAAUGUUUUACGUACCAUAUUUCUUUGUUUGAACCCUGAGACACAUGAGAUCACUGACUUUUGCAGCUUCUACAUCCCUUCUUCAAUAUUUGGCAGCCAAAAUUACUCGACAUCGAAAGCUGCUUCCUCGUACGACAAUGUGGUUACUCAGACUCCUUUGCUCCAGCUGAUGAAUGAUGCUCUCAUUGUGGCGAAACAGAAGGACUAUGAUGUGUUCAAUGCGUUAGAUGUCAUGCAUAAUGAAUCUUUCUUGAAGGAGCUGAAAUUCGGGCCUGGUGAUGGUCAGCUUCAUUAUUAUCUGUACAACUACUGGAUACGACAGGCUUUGAGGCAAUCUGAGCUAGGGCUCGUGCUUUUGUAGUUAGUUGUACCAGGCAAAGAAUUUAUACUUAUCUUCAUUGAGAGGACCAGGAAAAAUGUGUUGUUUGAUGUCUUAUUUGUGCAUGAUGGUUUGUUUGCUUGACUCACAAUGGUUGUCUGGCAGUUUGAUCUUCUCUUGUGUGAAGGACUUUUAUAUGUGAUCAAAUUCUCUGUAGUCUUUCUUGAGACGGUUGUUGGAUAUUUCUUACACCUGAUUGUGUAUAGUUCUUCUUUAUGAGCAUGCAAAAUUGGAAUAUUUUUCUUUUGUUUUCCUUUGAUCCCUAUCUCUAUUGAUCAUGUUGUUUCCUUCACAUAUUCUGUACAUCUUCCAUCAUCCUGCAUUUCAUAGUUUUCUGUUUGAUAUCACUGUGAAUGUUAUUGUCUAAAUGUUCAUCCAUCCUGUAUAUUCUAUAUAAAGCUGCAAUUAGCUUUGUUAGUUUUCAUCAUUAGCAGCACUAAUUUCAAACCCAUGGUCAAACUCAUAGCAGACAGUUUGAGAGAUUAAUAAGGGAUGCUCUUUUGUUUUUGAUUGGUCAUAAUUAUGAUUUUUUUCUUGGACAGUUUGAUGGUAUAGGAAUGUUGAGCUUCUGAUUAAUUUAGGAAGACUUGUAUUAGAUCUGACCGAGCAAGGAAAACCUUGUGGAUCCGUAAGUAGUCUAUGUCUAGAAAAAUUUCACUCUAUUCAUUUUUAGUGCGUCAGAAAGAGUAUGUUGCAGGACCUUGUAUCUUUUGGUGCGGACCCCCUUUUUGUCUUCCAACAAGGUUGGUAUUCAAUAUAACUGGCAAGGUUUGAUUUCAGAGUUCUAUUGAGCGCUGGGUCAAUCAGUCAAUUAGAAAAGCACCUCUCAUUUCAUGUUUUAUGUAUCUCCGACUUCCUGAUGAACUUUCUGCAAUAGUUGGUCUUUUAAGGUUCUUGGUUCAACUGAAAAAAUUUAGGAGUCUUGUGUGCUUUGCAGAUGGGCACCUUCAAGCGACGUGCGAAUUGUGUUCAGGCUGUUGUCUGCAUGCCCUGGCAUCUACUUCCCUCAUUGCCCAUUCUCAGAAGUUGUCCUAUAAGAACACCUUAAAGAUCUAUAUCUAUAUGAAUGUUUUACGUACCAUAUUUCUUUGUUUGAACCCUGAGACACAUGAGAUCACUGACUUUUGCAGCUUCUACAUUCUCCCUUCUUCAAUAUUUGGCAGCCAAAAUUACUCGACAUCGAAAGCUGCUUCCUCGUACGACAAUGUGGUUACUCAGACUCCUUUGCUCCAGCUGAUGAAUGAUGCUCUCAUUGUGGCGAAACAGAAGGACUAUGAUGUGUUCAAUGCGUUAGAUGUCAUGCAUAAUGAAUCUUUCUUGAAGGAGCUGAAAUUCGGGCCUGGUGAUGGUCAGCUUCAUUAUUAUCUGUACAACUACUGGAUACGACAGGCUUUGAGGCCAUCUGAGCUAGGGCUCGUGCUUUUGUAGUUAGUUGCACCAGGCAAAGAAUUUAUACUUAUCUUCAUUGAGAGGACCAGGAAAAAUGCGUUGUUUGAUGUCUUAUUUGUGGAUGAUGGUUUGUUUGCUUGACUCACAAUGGUUGUCUGGCAGUUUGAUCUUAUCUUGUGUGAAGGACUUUUAUAUGUGAUCAAAUUCUCUGUAGUCUUUCUUGAGACGGUUGUUGGAUAUUUCUUACACCUGAUUGUGUAUAGUUCUUCUUUAUGAGCAUGCAAAAUUGGAAUAUUUUUCUUUUGUUUUCCUUUGAUCCCUAUCUCUAUUGAUCAUGUUGUUUCCUUCACAUAUUCUGUACAUCUUCCAUCAUCCUGCAUUUCAUAGUUUUCUGUUUGAUAUCACUGUGAAUGUUAUUGUCUAAAUGUUCAUCCAUCCUGUAUAUUCUAUAUAAAGCUGCAAUUAGCUUUGUUAGUUUUCAUCAUUAGCAGCACUAAUUUCAAACCCAUGGUCAAACUCAUAGCAGACAGUAUGAGAGAUUAAUAAGGGAUGCUCUUUUGAUUUUGAUUGGUCAUAAUUAUGAUUUUUUUCUUGGACAGUUUACUGGUAUAGGAAUGUUGAGCUUCUGAUUAAUUUAGGAAGACUUGUAUUAGAUCUGACCGAGCAAGGAAAACCUUGUGGAUCCGUAAGUAGUCUAUGUCUAGAAAAAUUUCACUCUAUUCAUAUUUAGUGCGUCAGAAAGAGUAUGUUGCAGGACCUUGUAUCUUUUGGUGCGGACCCCCUUUUUGUCUUCCAACAAGGUUGGUAUUCAAUAUAACUGGCAAGGUUUGAUUUCAGAGUUCUAUUGAGCGCUGGGUCAAUCAGUCAAUUAGAAAAGCACCUCUCAUUUCAUGUUUUAUGUAUCUCCGACUUCCUGAUGAACUUUCUGCAAUAAGUGGUCUUUUAAGGUUCUUGGUUCAACUGAAAAAAUUUAGGAGUCUUGUGUGCUUUGCAGAUGGGCACCUUCAAGCGAAGUGCGAAUUGUGUUCGGGCUGUUGUCUGCAUGCCCUGGCAUCUACUUCCCUCGUCGCCCAUUCUCAGAAGUUGUCCUAUAAGAACACCUUAAAGAUCUAUAUCUAUAUGAAUGUUUUACGUACCAUAUUUCUUUGUUUGAACCCUGAAUUUGUUGCCAAUUUUGUAUAACCCCUGUCGUUGAAUCCAUCCAUUUGACUGGAUAUCAU
rnacentral:lncRNA from 1 species